UACGUAGGGUGCAAGCGUUAAUCGGAAUUACUGGGCGUAAAGCGUGCGCAGGCGGUUUUGCAAGACCGAUGUGAAAUCCCCGGGCUUAACCUGGGAAUGGCAUUGGUGACUGCACGGCUAGAGUGUGUCAGAGGGGGGUAGAAUUCCACGUGUAGCAGUGAAAUGCGUAGAGAUGUGGAGGAAUACCGAUGGCGAAGGCAGCCCCCUGGGAUAACACUGACGCUCAGGCACGAAAGCGUGGGGAGCAAACAGG
rnacentral:rRNA from 1 species